AACUACAUCUCUCCCACCCUGAGAAAAAGAGCUUUGAUCUGGAUAAUUAAAGUCACAACACAAUCUGCUAGGCACUCUUGUGAGGACUUUGAUGGUUUGAAGUGGGAAGACCCACCAUGGCAACCCAUAGCAAAGGAAGGAUGUGGAAGAAGGAAACUUUUUCUUCUUGCUUUCACUUCUGGCAAGUUCAUCUGUCGUGUUGCUACAGCAUUAGACCAGAGCUCUCCAGGAGUCCUCUAGUGCCCCAGGUCGGACUGCCGAGACUUCGUGCCUCAUGGGCUGAACAGCCAGACAGCUAGUGUUGGAAUGCCUGGACUAUAAUGUAAGCCAAUCUAAUAAGCCUCCUUAUGACAUAUUAAUUCCCUUUAUUCUGUUCCAUAAAGAACCAUAGUACACAACCCUUGGAA